CUGACAGUCCUUUAGCUUGAAAUCUUUUCUACUUGUCCAUAGGCUAGGUACAGCAUGUGAAGUGGCAGUGCACACUUCCUCAACAAGUGCUUUGCCAAUAUGCCUCAACCCUCAUCUGAAAGGACCCACCUCUAGAGGUGAGGGAAUUAGGGCUCCAUGCUAAUUCACCCUCUGACAUGGACAAGU
ensembl:misc_RNA